AGGAUGAACGCUGGCGGCGUGCUUAACACAUGCAAGUCGAACGGACUGCGAGGAGCUUGCUCCUCAAAGUUAGUGGCGGACGGGUGAGUAACGCGUGGGUAACCUGCCCUAUGCAGGGGGAUAACGUUUGGAAACGAACGCUAAUACCGCAUAACCUAGUCGGUUCGCAUGAACGGAUUAGCAAAGAUUUAUCGGCAUAGGAUGGACCCGCGUUAGAUUAGCUAGUUGGUGAGAUAACAGCCCACCAAGGCAACGAUCUAUAGCCGGCCUGAGAGGGUGAACGGCCACACUGGGACUGAGACACGGCCCAGACUCCUACGGGAGGCAGCAGUGGGGAAUAUUGCACAAUGGGCGCAAGCCUGAUGCAGCCGACGCCGCGUGAAGGAUGAAGGUCUUCGGAUCGUAAACUUCUAUCAGCAGGGAAGAAUACCAUGACGGUACCUGACUAAGAAGCCCCGGCUAACUACGUGCCAGCAGCGGC
rnacentral:rRNA from 1 species